CAAGCAGCCACCCCUGGCACCAGUGCUCCCAGUCUGCACAGCCGGGAGCCGCAGGACAGAGCUGGCAGUACGGGGAGCGAGAGAAAAGUAACAAAACCUGCCUCUCCUCGGUCAUUAGAUUUGCCCAAAGGUAUUUCUUGGAAGUGAAGUUGCUUGCAAGGCAUUUUCCAGGUGUAGCCAUUCCCUCCCCCCUCACUUCCCAUUCCUUGGUAACUGGAGAGCUGUCAGCGUGUGAAACCAGGCGAGGGGUGAACGCUUCCUUAAAACACGGCAUGCGGGAUCGUGUUCAAAGCGCUAAUUGUGUAUAUAUUUAUGCAUACAGACAGAAAUAUAGUCUGCAAAUAUAGUAGAAAGAUAGUAAAAACGUCAGCCUGGUACAUUUCUGGCAAGAACUGCUGCUUGUUGUUUCAUAUGGCUAAAAAUUUUAGUUUGUGUGUUCAUGUCUGUAUGCCCUUUAUGAAGACCAGAGAAGGCGGGAACAGGAAAUGCAACGGCAUCUUGCAUUUGCCUGUUGAAUUGCAUGCUCGUGUUUGUUCCUGGAAGCCUCGGAACGCUGUACUUUGAACACACCACUUCGCCCUUACAGUGUGUCACCAGGAGAUAAGAGAAUAAAACUGAAGUUCCCGUCCCUGGCUGAACAAAGCUGGGAUUGCAGGACCUUUUCUCCGAUUAAAUAUCAGCCAGCUGUUUGAAGACACGCUGUCUAUGAAGAAUAUUAAUUAUGUGCCAGGAAUCAAGCCACAAUGUAUACCCAGUUUAUUUAGCAAAACCAGAACACGCUGUUCUGCUGCUGGGGGAAAAACGUGGGGGUGGGGAAAUGUAGCUCCUCCUCCAAAGCCCGUGUUUGCAAGUCAGCAUGCUCGUUCCUGUUAGCUACAGGAGCAAAGCCAGUAGCAGACAGAAAGCAGCCUUGAUGAGGGUCCCGUGUGGCGCAGGGCCACCCUGAAAACCAGGUUUGCUGUUCGGGACAGACCGAGCGUGCCGUGAGGCGGAGCAGCUCGCAGAGCCUUCCUGAGACAGAGCACACAACGUGCCUGAGCAGAUCUCGUGUUCCCCUGUAAUAUUAGCGUGCCUUUUGUAAUUGUAAAGGUUGCCUUUGCCAGUCUGCACGUGAAGCCAGCGGCACCAAGCUGGUGGUGAGAAGAAGCCGUGUUUGCGAAAGUUUCCAGCCUUUGUCUUGAGAAGAGAAAAUCUGGUCAUCUUGGGAUGGUGCUUACUUAACACAGCUGUGGUUCCAGCAACAUUAACUCCCACGAGGAGGAGCAGGACACAUUAACAGCCCGGACAAGAAAACCCAUGCAUGGAUCAGAAAACAAAUUAUUCUUGCAGGGCUCCCAAGCCCGUGUGUUCAUUAAAAUACAAUUGUUGCUAGCUCAACUGCAGAUACACUUCCUAGAACCUCUUCUCUCCCACCCUGGACAGACCCUGAAAAAUAUCAAACCACAAGGGGCCGGACUCCGCUAGCGGGACAACCACACAGAGGGUGGGGAGACUGCAGCGUUAUCAGCAUAUUAUCUCUUGUUAUCCAGAAAAGGCUCUUCCCUGAUUCUUCAAACAGGAUUUUCCUGUUACUGUGUGUGGGCUGGGAGGUUUAACUACAUCCUGACUCUUCCUUUGCUAGGCCUGCAAUUGUCUCCUAGAAAUCGUUAUGGAGACCUUUAUGCAAGGAGGCAUAAACCUGCUGGGGAGAGCGCUCAGUGCUCGACAAACCCAGUCCUAGCUGUCAUCAUCACAAUACAGCCAAGCGAGCAACCAGCCCCCUCAACCCUUUACACUAAGGAACAGUUUUUGACUUAAGCCUAUUUUGUAUCUUGUAAGAAGAUUAAAAGAAUUAAAGAGAAACCUGUUCAGUCCAUUUACUAUUAAGCAUAUGACACAUAGCUUCAUCUUGUACAGGGUCAGAAUAAACAGAAGGACAUAAUAAUUAUACAUAUUUUAUGCUGCUCUUGAGGACUUCUAAGCUGGAAUAUCCUGCCUGCAUCCAUUUCCAGAGGAUACCAGAGCUUUGUAGUUGCAUACAAAUGCCAGCAGCAACAGUUCUUGGAAAAACCAUCCUGUGUGAGCAGAGUAAUCACUUCAGUAUAUUGAAAAGGAAAGCUCCCUUGGCUGUGCUGCAAAGGUUUUGAGGAGGUGGAAGGUGGUUGGCAGUGGUGGGAUGGAGCUAAAGUCCCAGCAUCCCUGCAGACCCUGCCGAAGGGGUCCCACACAAGGUCCACAUGAAUCAGCAUUUCUUUCAUCAAAGGUGUGUGACCCUGCCCAUCAAUCACAUCAGUGCAAUGGUGGCACACUGGUGUGGGGGACAUGGAGAGGACAGAAAUUAUGGCCUUGAAGGAGGAGCCCUGCAGCAGAUCUGUGCCUGCCUGCCCGUUCCCCAGGACUGCAAGACAAAGUGAUAUCAGCACGAUGACUUCUUGCCCUACUGGCCAUGUGUAAAGCCCUUGUCUGUCCCUCAGCAAAUGCUAAAAUAAGUGCAGCCAUUUUGAGAACUCUGUACAGUAAAACAAUUCACUAGCUGACCUAGAUGGAAUAAUUACAGAAGUACUUACAAUGUAUCUCUUCACAACCAUCAUAAAAGUCCUGAGCUAAUUCUCAACUGCUUUUACAAUCUGUUUGCCUGAGUUGCUAGCAGGACAAAAGCUCCAGCUCCAGUUUAUUUGCAUGCUAUAGGAACAUACAACUGCCUAAUAUCUGUAUUUAUUUACAGCACUGUGUUUGUUGAGAAUGUACGUACAGUAAAUAUUGUCGGUCAUAAACAAUCCAUAAUGAACUAACUGUUAUCUUUGUACUGGGAGCAGCUGGUAUAUUGGGAUAUACCAUGAGAAUCAGCAUUUGGAGAUGUGCCAGAUGAGAUAGAGUUGGGAUGGGUGUCUGGCCUUGUCACAGCCAGUUAUUGCUUUGAGCUGGGUUUAUAUGUGACAAUACCAUGCUUGGGUAUCUUAGCAUAUUUUUAAACAAAUGUAGACAAAGGUAAAAGUUAUGUGUUUCUGUCUGGAGACACAGUCUAGUCCCAUAAUAAAACCAUCCCACAAUACCCCAUACAUGUAUUUAUCCCAUAUUUCAUAUGAUUUAGGCUGCAAUUUCAGUUAAGUCAAUAAAUGUGCAGAUUUGAAUUAUCCAGUCACUAAGUAAAUACAGCAAAUAAGCAGAAUAUAUACAUACUGAUGAGCUAGUGAUUUACAGCAGAACUAAUUAGCAAGCAGACACAUUACUAGGUUGCUCAAAUAAAAUCUUAGAUUUUCUCUAUCUCAAUUUUCUUCCUGAUAGCAGAAAUUCUGGCUUCUCCUUUUGCCCUUUUCCCCUUGCUGCUUCCAUGAGGAAUAAGGAAGCAUAAAGGUACCUAUUUAUGUACCUGCCUGCAGGUACAUACCUACACACACACUAUGUGAAACACUGCAAAGUGUACAGACCAGCUCAUAAAUAGGUAGAGGAGCUGCAAAUAUGCUUUGUCCAAGCUCUGCAUCUGUUAUAAAGAGCCCCAUGGUGCAAAGUGUGCAAAGGCAUAAGCAUUUAAAAGGGCAAAACUCAGACUCAUUGAUGCAGGCCAACAGGGUUAGCUCUGCUGAGGUGCUUUAUGAGUUCUUCUCUUUUGCCUUGCCCUUUUAUUGCUCUUUACCUCUGUACUCACCUUUUGUACGUGCAAAUGCUCAGAAGAACAACUUGAUGCUUCCAGGCCAAAGUUUAGCAAUGAGUUUACAUUCAAAUCUUUAUGUUUGGCAAUUGGCUCUUGUCAUGUACACAUGCAAAUCUACUAAGUGCAAAUCCACUAAGCACAGGGCAGAGGAACAGCAUCUCUGGCAACUAAGGAAUUCACAUUAUAAUCCUGCAAGACACCUUAAAGCAGGCACCUCCUCAUUUUGGGGGUAAUAAACAUUUAUAAUUAUAUUGGCACUCUGGUGGAGUCAGCAGAACUUUGAGGCGGAUCUACCUCCAGUUUUCCCUUGAAACACACAUCCCAAAACACAAAGCUUUUAACUUCAGAAAUCAUAUUCUGUUAAACAUAAAGGAAUACUUUAAAAAAAACCCCAACAACAACAACAGAGAACUCUUCAAGUUAGGCAGAACAGAAAGUUUCUAAAUUAACUCCUUGUUAGUUUAGGGUUUUUCUUCCAAACACUAUUCUCUGUCCAUCCUAUCCUUUAAGUGGUUCAUCCAACUGAUCAUGCUUAACAGCACCGAAGCAAAGCAUCUUGCCCCCUUUCCAGGGUUCCAACCACAGCUGCAGCAUCCAAGACAGAGGCAGCAUCUUCCCUGGUGCCAAAACAACAGCCUGUGUGUUUUGUUACACACCGUGUUCCAGGGAACACAACAGACAGUGAACACGAAGAGAGCAGGUACCCCCCCUGCAAGCUACAGGAGGAGGCCCAAGGCUGUGGCUGCUUUCCCUGUGGCAGUGGGGUUAGAUGCCUGUAACUGCCUGCUUUGUCCUGUUCCAAGCCAGCUGUGUGCCCUGGUAGGUGCUCAUUAGAGCCAAAGACAUCUGGCAAUUUUGUGUUGAGUUAUGUGGGUAAAUGAAGGCAUGUUAGUGCAUGCACAGUGCACACACAUAUAAAUUUUAUAAAGUUUAUACAGUAUAAAAACAACUACAUUGUCAGUAUUGCAAGACAGCAAUCUCUUGUGGUCACUUUAUUGGGGAUGUAGAACCUGUGUAAUGGAAGGCAUGCAGGUAGUCACUGUGGAGAUGGGUGCAAGAGGCUGGUGCUUUCACCCCAGAGCUCUAUGCCCUCACAGACCGUGACCCAGCUCGUGAGCUGAUGAAGCAAACGCAUCUCAUGUCCCAUGUACGCAAGAAUCUGACAAAGCACAUUUACCUAGUUCACUGAAAAUUUCAGCAGACUGGUGACAAACAAAACAAUGAUCUAUAUUUUAGAUGAUUUAGGCUGUGUUUUCAGUGACGUCAAUAAAUUAGCGGAUCCAAAUUGUCCAGUCACCAUAACCAGGAUAACCAGGUCACAUAAUGAAAAAAGUAUGGUUUUUUAAGCUCAUCUUGGAACAUAAUGAAGGUCUAGUUUUCUUUUAACCAGGAAAACCCAGCCACUAUUUAGCUAAUGUUUUAUUGACACAGUUAACAUGUCACUGGAGGAUCCUGUCAUUACUGGGCAUAGGUGUCUGUGGAAUAUUAAGGGUAUAUUUUGGUCUUUGGCCAGUUAAAUGAUCCAAGCAGACAAGAACUGUACCUGAGCUCAGUUCAAGAAGUGUAGUUGUACCAAUGCUUGCAACACAUCCUUAAAUCUCCCUGCUUUUACAUGUUAGCAGUUUCACAUUGUAUUUGCCAUCUCUAUGCAGUUACAGAGUAUUUUGAAGAUUUAAUAUGCAGAUGGAUGAUGGUUGAAUCAUCUCCAACAGCAGUUUUCACACAGCUUUUUCACUGAGAAGAACAUACCAGUGGCAGUGUUUUCCUUUUUCAGCAACUGUAAGAGACACAAUUCACCCUUCUCCUCUCUGGCCAUGGCUUAAUGGCUUAAAAAAUCCAACAUUAGGGCCCUUGGCAUAGGACCAGAUAUACCAUAACCUACUACCCAAGGUGCAGAUCCAGCUUUCACUCACACUGUCGGUUAAAAUUGCUCUAAAAUUUUGCUGAUUUCUGACUGACACAAUGUGAUUAAAACUACUGCUCUCUCUGUGCCAUUGUCACUUCACGUCAGAUUAGAUAUCAGCUAUCAACUGUUAAAAACUCAUAUGAACUCCAUACCAGACAUACUUAAUUCAAUGACAAAGUGAUCACGUGAACUGGAACCAAACCUGUAUGCUUGGAGAUCCAUCACUGCACACAUCCAGUAAAAUGACAGAGCCUCACACAUGCACUGCACACACUAAAAUUAAGACAUGCUUUCACUGAGAAAAAGUUAAAACAUGAAUGGUUCAAGCAGCUGUUUAAUUUCUUAGGAUCUCUCUCCUUAAAGUUAAGCUGGGAUUUUACCAAAUUUGGUGUUCCUGCAUAAGGGUGGAAGGCAGUGUGUAAGGGUCAUGGUUGAAAAAGCAGUCCUGGCUCCUGGCUCAAACUGCAAAUGCAGGACCUCCAUCACUAUCAAUUUUGUUUUACAGAAAUAAUUAAAAUUUUAAAAAGCACAGUAUGUCCUUACAUUCCUUCUUUUCUUGUCAAUCACUGUCAUGCUCUUAGCAUUUUUAAAGCACUCCAGAUUCUUACUGUAGAGGAACAGAACAAGUAAUAAGAGCUUACAGUUCAACUUGUUAGCUUUUGGCCUAAAAAACUCAAGGCUGUUUGGCAUUUUGUAAGAGGACAUUCCACUCAUAGCUAAACAGUUUUCUUGUACAAGUUGUCAAGGGAAUUUUAAAAAGCUUCAUAUGUUCUUCAUGUGUGAGUAAAUAUUGAGGCUUGGGAAGACAUGGUGUGCUGUUGGUUUUGGUUGUAGUGUUUCAGGAAAGGGUGAGGAGAAGAAUGGAGAGAGAAG